AUUGAACGCUGGCGGCAUGCCUUACACAUGCAAGUCGAACGGCAGCACGGGAGCAAUCCUGGUGGCGAGUGGCGAACGGGUGAGUAAUAUAUCGGAACGUGCCCAGUCGUGGGGAUAACGUAGCGAAAGCUACGCUAAUACCGCAUACGAUCUAUGGAUGAAAGCGGGGGAUCGCAAGACCUCGCGCGAUUGGAGCGGCCGAUAUCAGAUUAGGUAGUUGGUGAGGUAAAGGCUCACCAAGCCGACGAUCUGUAGCUGGUCUGAGAGGACGACCAGCCACACUGGGACUGAGACACGGCCCAGACUCCUACGGGAGGCAGCAGUGAGGAAUAUUGGUCAAUGGGCGCAAGCCUGAACCAGCCAUGCCGCGUGCAGGAAGACGGUCCUAUGGAUUGUAAACUGCUUUAUACAGGAAGAAACCCUCCACGUGUGGGAGCUUGACGGUACUGUAGGAAUAAGCACCGGCUAACUACGU
rnacentral:rRNA from 1 species